UCCAGCCCACCUUGUUUGGCUAUUUGAUUUAGAAACGACGAAUGAAGUCCAUUUGCCAUAUGGCAACUCCCUUGUGCAUGAAGAGAUAUGUCCACGUAUGUUCACUGUAGCAAUGACUGUAGUAAAAACCUUGGAGCCACAUAUGACCUAUCACCGUGGGCAUGAAUAUAUAACCGAAGCACACCGUUCCCAAGAGCUGCAUGGGUGAGUACAUCUAUGGCAUGCUGAUCACACUUCUAGGCUGAGCGGAAGAAUGAUGAGCCAAAGCAGUGCUGACAGUCUGGGAAGCCAGGUCAAGUCCUGCAACCUGGAGCUUAAUGGAGAGAAAUGCCAAGUCCAGCACACGGGCCCAAACCAGUCACACAAGGACAUCAAGAUCCAGUGCUUGUAAAAGACUGUCUUGUGGAUGCUACAGCCUAGAAGAAUGGGAAGAGUCGGGACCGUAGGAGAGAAGAAUUUUAAGCUGACACCCACUCCAGGCAUUCAGUUGGUGUUUAUGGAGCCCCCACAAUAUUGAAGGCCUUGAUGAAGCCAUUGUGGUCCCAUGGCGAAGAAGAUGCAUACAUCCCUUCUAUGGGGGGACCCAGUGUGAACAAUACGUCACUGUCAGAGCUGAUACCUGCUAG